rnacentral:rRNA from 1 species
GACGAACUUUGGCGGCGUGCUUAACACAUGCAAGUCGAACGGUAAGGCUCCAGCUUGCUGGGGUACACGAGUGGCGAACGGGUGAGUAACACGUGGGUGACCUGCCCUGCACUUCGGGAUAAGCCUGGGAAACUGGGUCUAAUACCGGAUAGGACCGCACCGUGAGGGUGUGGUGGAAAGUUUUUUCGGUGUGGGAUGGGCCCGCGGCCUAUCAGCUUGUUGGUGGGGUAAUGGCCUACCAAGGCGGCGACGGGUAGCCGGCCUGAGAGGGUGGACGGCCACAUUGGGACUGAGACACGGCCCAGACUCCUACGGGAGGCAGCAGUGGGGAAUAUUGCACAAUGGGCGGAAGCCUGAUGCAGCGACGCCGCGUGGGGGAUGACGGCCUUCGGGUUGUAAACUCCUUUCACCAUCGACGAAGGGUUUCUGACGGUAGAUGGAGAAGAAGCACCGGCUAACUACGUGCCAGCAGCCGCGGUAAUACGUAGGGUGCGAGCGUUGUCCGGAAUUACUGGGCGUAAAGAGCUCGUAGGUGGUUUGUCGCGUCGUCUGUGAAUUCCGGGCCAUACUCCCGGGCGUGCAGGCGAUACGGGCAUAACUUGAGUACUGUAGGGGAGACUGGAAUUCCUGGUGUAGCGGUGAAAUGCGCAGAUAUCAGGAGGAACACCGGUGGCGAAGGCGGGUCUCUGGGCAGUAACUGACGCUGAGGAGCGAAAGCAUGGGGAGCGAACAGGAUUAGAUACCCUGGUAGUCCAUGCCGUAAACGGUGGGCGCUAGGUGUGGGUUUCCUUCCACGGGAUCCGUGCCGUAGCUAACGCAUUAAGCGCCCCGCCUGGGGAGUACGGCCGCAAGGCUAAAACUCAAAGGAAUUGACGGGGGCCCGCACAAGCGGCGGAGCAUGUGGAUUAAUUCGAUGCAACGCGAAGAACCUUACCUGGGCUUGACAUAUACAGGAUCGCGCCAGAGAUGGUGUUUCCCUUGUGGCUUGUAUACAGGUGGUGCAUGGUUGUCGUCAGCUCGUGUCGUGAGAUGUUGGGUUAAGUCCCGCAACGAGCGCAACCCUUGUCUUAUGUUGCCAGCACGUUGUGGUGGGGACUCGUAAGAAACUGCCGGGGUUAACUCGGAGGAAGGUGGGGAUGACGUCAAAUCAUCAUGCCCCUUAUGUCCAGGGCUUCACACAUGCUACAAUGGUCGGUACAGUGGGUUGCCAGUCCGUGAGGGCGAGCCAAUCCCGCAAAGCCGGUCUCAGUUCGGAUCGGGGUCUGCAACUCGACCCCGUGAAGUCGGAGUCGCUAGUAAUCGCAGAUCAGCAACGCUGCGGUGAAUACGUUCCCGGGCCU